AGACAGGACCCCACCCUCCAAAAGUAUCGGGAAUUAGCCGACAGUGGAGGGGAUGAGCGGGAGCGUUUUCUAUGGGAGGGUGACAGAUUAUACCCAAGGUAGGAGGAGAGGCUGUAUCCCUUCGCAGAAGCGCCAACUAGUGGUACCCAGAAAGUACCGGUUGGAACUUCUCCGAAUUGGACAUGACAUUCCGUUGGCAGGGCACUUAGGGGGUAACCGCACCGACUACAGGAUCACACAGACCUUUUUCUGGCCUGGGAUCUCGAAAGACGUGCAGGGUUACUGCAGUACCUGUGACACAUGCCAACGAGAAGGGAAGAGAGGGGACCACCCUAAAGCUCGACUGUCACCCAUGCCUGUGAUCGAGGAACCGUUUAGCCGGGUGGCAGUCGACCUAGUGGG